AAGACUUUAAGUUAAGUUAAACUAAUAACCUUCAAAGUUUUAAAUAUUGUAUUUUUAAGUCUUA
rnacentral:tRNA from 1 species